rnacentral:sRNA from 2 species
CGCCCGUCAAACCACGAAAGUUAACAAUACCCAAAACCGGUGGCCUAACCAUUUAUGGAGGGAGCCGUCUAAGGUAGGGUUGAUGAUUGGGGUUAAGUCGUAACAAGGUAUCCGUACCGGAAGGUGCGGAUGGAUCACCUCCUUUCUAAGGAGUAAAACUAAAAUUACAAUCAAUAUACAUUCUCAUCAUAUUCAGCUUUGAAGGAUUUUCCUUCUAAUAUAAGUAAGAUCUUUGAAAAGUAGAUAAAUUCUGUCGUAACAAAUAAUAUAUAAAAAGACAAAAGGUUAAGGAAAAAAGGGCGCGCAGUGGAUGCCUUGGCACUAAGAGCCGAUGAAGGACGCAACUAACGGCGAAACGCCACGGGGAGCAGUAAGUAUGUACCGAUCCGUGGAUAUCCGAAUGGGGGAACCCGGCAUGUUGGAGACAUGUCACUUGUGAAAACAAGAGGGAACGCAGGGAAUUGAAAUAUCUUAGUACCUGCAGGAAAAGAAAGUAAUAACGAUUCUGCUAGUAGCGACGAGCGAACGCGGAGGAGCCCGAUACAAUAACAGUUACAAAACUAUUAAUGAGAAGAAUAAUUUGGGAAGGUUAACCAAAGAAGGUGAAAGUCCUGUAAUCGAAAUUAAUAGACUGGUGUAUCAAAGAGUACGGCGAGACACGAGAAAUCUUGCUGGAACGAAUAAGGAGGACCAUCUCCUAAGGCUAAAUACUACUUAGUGACCGAUAGUGAACCA